rnacentral:rRNA from 1 species
UACGUAGGGUGCGAGCGUUGUCCGGAAUUAUUGGGCGUAAAGAGCUCGUAGGCGGUCUGUCGCGUCUGCUGUGAAAACCCGAGGCUCAACCUCGGGCCUGCAGUGGGUACGGGCAGACUAGAGUGCGGUAGGGGAGAAUGGAAUUCCUGGUGUAGCGGUGGAAUGCGCAGAUAUCAGGAGGAACACCGGUGGCGAAGGCGGGUCUCUGGGCCGUUACGGACGCUGAGGAGCGAAAGCGUGGGGAGCGAACAGG